UAUUGUGAUAUUUUUUAUGAAUUGUUUUCGUUUCUGAUGUUUAUAUAUAUUCUUUUUAUUUGUUAACUAUGUAUUUAUUUUUAAUAAUAUAUAUUAUGUUGUAUAUGGGUGAUAUAGGCCUACUGGGGAACCGAGCACCCAAAAAUAAUAUCGGUAACGUGCUAUUUGCAUACCUCAGUGGUAGUGUGGAAAUUGCAAAAUGUCCAAAAGUAGUUUAUAAAAUGCCCAAUCUAAUAUUUUUCACCAGUGGCAUCAUUGGCAAAUGUUAUAAAAAAUGCGAGUUUUGACAGCUCUCUCUCAAUUCAAAGUGUAAACACAAUGGCUAUGACAGACUGCAAACUACAUCUGUCAAAUAUUAAAAUACACACGUUCUUAUGGGCAGUGUUAUUUUGACAGCUGCACGACUACACAACUGCAGGCCGACAGUUGUCGUUCUCGCUAACUUCAAUAUCCUCCUAUUUUUGCCAACGACAGUAGGACGACAGUAGAGUUGACAGUAGAAUGGAAGAUAGAAAGAGGAGGUAGAGUGGUGAUGCCACUAAUAUGUAAAAUGUAAAAUGAUUCACAGCUCUAACAAACUUGAUGUUAUUUUACAAAUAAAAGCAUAAAAUAGCUAUAUUAUAGCUCUAUUAUAUCAUUUGUAAUAACAAUUGAUAAUUUAAAGCAAAAAUAUUGACCUAUUUACUUAUUUUUUGCAUAAAAAAUUUCACUUUGAACAAAAUAUUAAAAUUUCAUUGAAGUGAAAGGUAUUAGUAUGGCCACAACGAAAUUGUGUACAUACAAAAUGGACAACUGCGUUGUUUUGUGUACAUGCCGGCCAUUGUGUUGUAGUUGCUUCUCAAAAUGUACAUGUAGUAAGAUGAACAACGACGUUUUCAGUUCACUGUCGUGCCGCUGCAGUCUGUCGUAGCCAUUGUGUUUACACUUUCAAAGAGUCUCGUAUCAUAUUAUCCAUGCUGUUGUCUGUCAGGGCUAUAAGAUGUGUGAAUGCAUUGGUAGUGUCUUUGCCAGAAUACGGUCCAACAACAUCAUGGUUGUAACAUUGGGGAUGUUCGAGUCUCAAUCACUGCGGCAGUAUAGCAAGGCAUCAUAUUCGACGCAAAAAUUUUGCAAUAUAAGUAUCAGCUGAGUAUCUGCAGAAAAACAACACUGUCGCAAUAUUGCUGCAGUUAUUUGCUUGCUCGAACAUCCCCAUUAUGUUAAUUGUUCGUUUAAUGGCCAUGUAUAAAUAAAGAACAGUUUUUCCAGUCACUUCAAUCCAGACCAAAAAAUAUAUCACUAAAUGUUGAGUGAACACUUUGACCAAUAAAUGGACUAAUUUUUAGUACAGCAUUUGCGGACGAGCAAUUAGCUGCUGUAGUGUAAUGUUCCCGAAAAUUGUUUAACAUACAUAUUUUCAAGUGUUUGUCUUUAGUUCACGAACGCGGAGGCUUUUAAGACAUUAAUGGGUGUGAAUGGUACAAAUAGUCAGGGCAUUGCGACGAAUCCGUUGGCGGAAUGGGUGUAAAAAGUGAGCGAAGGUAAUAAGACAAUACUUGAUGAAAUUUACAAUAAAGUGGUAGAAUCCGCGGGUGAAUUUUUCAACGCUGGGAGUGCUGGACUUUAUCUACUUCAAAGCAAGAUUAACCACAGUCGUGUACCAAACGCUCACUCGACAUGGCCUUAUUCAAACGACACAGUAGUUGUGUUGAAAGCGGUAGCACCUAUACAAGUUGGUGUAGAAAUUUACAUAUCUUACUUGGGUGAGUGCCAGCUGGAGUGUACAAACUUAAAUAGUAUUGUAUAGUAAUUAUAAUAUUUAUUUUUAAUGUAGAUACUUUAACAAAUACAAACAAAAUUUAAUUCUUUCUCUUCAUUUUCGAUAUUUGCAAAUUUCGGAGGAAAAAUCUCCAGUCCGACCCAAUCACUAUUAUUAUUAUAUUUAAAUUACUCAAUACUAAUAAACAGUAUAACAAUAAGAA